UAUAAAGUAAGCUAUCUAAGCUAUUGGGUUCAUACCCCAAAAAUGACUAUUUCCUUUAUUA
rnacentral:tRNA from 1 species